UACGGAGGGUGCAAGCGUUGUCCGGAUUUAUUGGGUUUAAAGGGUGCGUAGGCGGCCCGUUAAGUCAGUGGUGAAAGCCUCCAGCUCAACUGGAGAACUGCCAUUGAUACUGACGGGCUUGAGUACAGACGAGGUUGGCGGAAUUGAUUGUGUAGCGGUGAAAUGCAUAGAUACAAUCAAGAACUCCGAUUGCGUAGGCAGCUAACUAGGCUGUAACUGACGCUGAGGCACGAAAGCGUGGGGAGCAAACGGG
rnacentral:rRNA from 1 species